rnacentral:ncRNA from 2 species
GAGAUAAGGACAUCAUCAGGUGCCCCCUUGGGGGAGAAUCGGGAAGCCGGUGCAAAUCCGGCGCGGGCCCGCCGCUGUAUCGGGGAUCGUUUGGCAGAAGCCACUGGGCAACGCCCGGGAAGGCGCCAGGACGAGAGGAUCCGGAGCCAGAAGACCGGCCUGGUGUCAUUGCGCCUC